AUCUGUCAAGAUUAAGCCAUGCAUGUCUAAGUAUAAGCUUUAUACUGUGAAACUGCGAAUGGCUCAUUAAAUCAGUUAUAGUUUAUUUGAUGGUGUUUCUUACUCGGAUAACCGUAGGAAAACUAGAGCUAAUACGUGCGUAAAUCCCGACUUCGGAAGGGACGUAUUUAUUAGAUAAGAGGCCGACCGGGCUCGUCCCGACCUUCGGUGAAUCAUGAUAACUUCACGAAUCGCAUGGUCCUGAACCGGCGAUGUUUCAUUCAAAUUUCUGCCCUAUCAACUUUCGACGGUAGGGUAGUGGCCUACCGUGGUGGUAACGGGUGACGGAGGAUUAGGGUUCGAUUCCGGAGAGGGAGCCUGAGAAACGGCUACCACAUCCAAGGAAGGCAGCAGGCGCGCAAAUUACCCAAAUCCCAAUUCGGGGAGGUAGUGACAAGAAAUAACGAUGCUCCGGCCUCUGGUCGGGUAAUCGGAAUGAGAACAAUUUAAAUCCCUUAUCGAGGAUCAAUUGGAGGGCAAGUCUGGUGCCAGCAGCCGCGGUAAUUCCAGCUCCAAUAGCGUAUAUUUAAGUUGCUGCGGUUAAAAAGCUCGUAGUCGGAUUUCGGGUGGCGCCUACCGGUCCGCCUUUGGUGAGUACUGGUAGGUACCUCCUUUCUGCCGAGGACGGGGUUCUGGGCUUAAUUGUCUGGGCCCCGGAGUCGGCGAUGUCACUUUGAGUAAAUUAGGGUGUUCAAAGCAGGCUUAUGCUCUGUAUACACUAGCAUGGGAUGACACGAUAGGACUUCGGUUUAUCUUGUCGGUCUGUAAAUCGGAGUAAUGAUAAAGAGCGACAGUCGGGGGGCAUUCGUAUUUCGGAGUCUGAGGUGUAAAUACCUGAGAUUUACUGACAAACGAACCUUCGAGCAAAAGCAUUUGCGAAGGAUGUUCUCAUUGAA
rnacentral:rRNA from 1 species